rnacentral:rRNA from 1 species
UCGGGAAUUUUGGGCAAUGGGCGAAAGCCUGACCCAGCAACGCCGCGUGAAGGAUGAAGUUUUUCGGAAUGUAAACUUCGUAAGAAUGGGAAGAACAAAUGACGGUACCAUUUGUAAGCCCCGGCUAACUACGUGCCAGCAGCCGCGGUAAUACGUAGGGGGCAAGCGUUGUUCGGAUUUACUGGGCGUAAAGGGCGCGUAGGCGGCAUGACAAGUCACUUGUGAAAUCUCCGGGCUUAACUCGGAACGGCCAAGUGAUACUGUCGCGCUAGAGUGCAGAAGGGGCAAUCGGAAUUCUUGGUGUAGCGGUGAAAUGCGUAGAUAUCAAGAGGAACACCUGAGGUGAAGACGGGUUGCUGGGCUGACACUGACGCUGAUGCGCGAAAGCCAGGGGAGCAAACGGG